CUCAGUUUAAAGGUAAACCCCGGGAAACUGGGGCUAAUCCCAGAUAGAUGAGAACCCCUGGAACGGGUUUUCGUCCAAAAGGCACCGCGGUUAUGCUCUGCAGUGCCGCUCAAGGAUGGGGCCGCGUCCGAUCAGGCUGUUGGUGAGGCAAUGGCUCACCAAACCUAUAACCGGUACGGGCCGUGGGAGCGGGAGCCCGGAGAUGGGAACUGAGACAAGGUCCCAGGCCCUACGGGGCGCAGCAGUUACGAAAACUUGUCAAUGCACGAAAGUGUGAACGGGCUACCCCGAGUGCCGUCCGCUGAGGAUGGCUUUUCUCUGCUGUAAGAAAGCGGAGGAAUAAGGCGAGGGCAAGUCUGGUGUCAGCCGCCGCGGUAAUACCAGCUCGCCGAGUGGUAGGGAUGAUUAUUGGGCUUAAAGCGUCCGUAGCCGGCCUUUCAAGUCUCUUGUUAAAUCCAACGAUUCAAUCGCUGGACUGCAGGAGAUACUGUUAGGCUAGGGGGCGGGAGAAGCCGACGGUAUUUUCGGGGUAGGGGUAAAAUCCUAUAAUCCCGGGAAGACCACCAGUGGCGUAGGCGGUCGGCUAGCACGCGCUCGACGGUGAGGGACGAAAGCUGGGGGAGCGAACCGGAUUAGAUACCCGGGUAGUCUCAGCUGUAAACGAUGCUGGCUAGGUGUUGAAGCGGCUACGAGCCGCUUCAGUGCCGCAGGGAAGCCAUUAAGCCAGCCGCCUGGGGAGUACGGCCGCAAGGCUGAAACUUAAAGGAAUUGGCGGGGGAGCAC
rnacentral:rRNA from 1 species